UGGGGAAUAUUGCACAAUGGGCGCAAGCCCUAUGCAGCCAUGCCGCGUGUAUGAAGAAGGCCUUCGGGUUGUAAAGUACUUUCAGUCGGGAGGAAGGUGUCAAGGUUAAUAACCUUGGCAAUUGACGUUACCGACAGAAGAAGCACCGGCUAACUCCGUGCCAGCAGCCGCGGUAAUACGGAGGGUGCAAGCGUUAAUCGGAAUUACUGGGCGUAAAGCGCACGCAGGCGGUUGAUUGAGUCAGAUGUGAAAUCCCCGGGCUUAACCCGGGAAUUGCAUCUGAUACUGGUCAGCUAGAGUCUUGUAGAGGGGGGUAGAAGUCGAAGUGUAGCGGUGAAAUGAGUAGAGAUGUGGAGGACUACCGGUGGCGAAGGCGGCCCCCUGGACAAAGACUGACGCUCAGGUGCGAAAGCGUGGGGAGCAAACAGG
rnacentral:rRNA from 1 species